rnacentral:lncRNA from 10 species
AGCAGAUCUCUGAGCUUCCCACUGCGGGUCUCCUCUGAGCUGCUCUAUCGCCGAUAAAGCUCUUCUUCAUCUUGCAUAACCUCCACUUGUCUACAUACCUCAUUCUUCCUGGUUGCAGGACAAUAAUUCAGGACCCCUCAAAUGGCAGGGUUAAAAAAGCUGUGAAACCAACAUGCCUGAAACAUGUUCCUUUCUUGCCAUUUUGUGGGUGAAGAGAAGGAGAGAAGAGUUGCUGCCUUUUGGAAAGCCCAGACUGGGGAGCUCCCAGAGCCAGGGCUGUGGCUUCCUCUUUGGGGUCUUUGGUUCUUGGUGUCUCCAAGCUUCCAGGCACCACCACAUUCCCCAGUGCCAGCCAGGGAAGCUGCUUACACUGAGCCUGAUCCAGCUGCAGUCUCGUAGAAAGCUGGCACCCACGCCAGCACCUGGAUCUGCCUGCUCCAUGGCAGCAGCCAGCAUGUCUAACUGCACAGUGGCCGGACCCCAUGCUCGCUCACACACCCCUUGCCACUCCACACCUGACUCACAGUCUCCCUUGGAGGCUUGGGAUCCAGGCCGGUAGUGUGAUCCAGGCACAGCCUGCCAGACCAAGUGGGUGGAACAAGCCCAGGACUCCCAAGCAAAACUCAGGCAAAGCUGCCACCAGCUACAGGUUUCCAGCCAGAAAAUGACACCCCAAAGAUUCCAUAACAAUAACAAUUUCAAAUGCCCUGUGAACACCAAGCUGGUUCACAGUUCCUUGUCUCUGGAACACUUUAACCUCUUAUUUGGCUAGCUAAUGUGCACUCAUCCUUCAAGACUUAGUUCAUGCGCCAUCUUCUCCAGGAAGCCAUGCUUGUCAUCUCCUCUAGGUCUCCAUCCCACCUCUGCCUGCUGGAAGUUGAGAUCAGGAGUCUGCCUUUCCUAGUUCCCUGAACCUACCACGUUACACCAAACCAGCAUGAUUUAUUGACUAGCCCUUCCUUUCCCCACUCAUCUGUCAUGUCAUUUCUGUAAUAUAUUAAAGUUCUGUAUGCAGGUGAGGGCAUCUGUUACAAAUACUACUGCUGAUUUGUGAGUCUCUUCAAAACCACAAACUGAAACAAAAAGAGAAGCAAAGAAACAAAACAAAACACAUGAUACUGAGCAAUAUUUUAUUGUGUGAGAAUCUAUGGCAUUCAGUCUGAAAAAAAGGAUUUAACA